AGCACAGCCUGGGUGUCAGUGGAGAGGGAAAGCCAUACAAAUCAUGACACAGACAAACAAAUGGCAGCCCGAGAGGUCACUGGAAACAGGGCCAAGAACCAUUGCUGUGGGACAUCAAUAGAAACAUGCCUGCUCAGUAAUGAUUUUCUGUUUGAGACCUAUCAGUUAGCCAGUUUUUAAAUCUAUGUAUGAUGUAUCACGUUGAUGUUGUAUUGCUCUAGUUUCUUAAUCAAAAUGUAGUUGGGUAAUUAGUCAAAUGCCACACAGAAGUCCAAGCACAUUACACCAACACUACCACCUUCAUCAACUACAUUUGUAAUAAAGAAAAAGGAUAUCAGCAUAAACCCAUGUUGAUUGGCAUGAACUGUUUUACCCUCUUAUGUCUUCAUUAAUCAAAUCCAGUACCAGCUAUUCCAUUAUCUUACCUGGAAUCAAAGUCAGGCUGUCACUUACUUGGGUCAUCUUUUUUUAAAUAUUGGCACAUUGCUGGCUUAACUUCCAGUCCUCUGGAACUUCCCCGGUGUUCCAACACCUAUUAAAAAUCAACAUUAAUGGCCCAGAGUGCUCCUUGCCCAGCUAUUUUAAAACAGUUGGAUACAGGUUAUCUGGAUCUCCUGAUUUAAAGAAGUCUAACUUUUGUAGCUGCUAUUUAACGUUCUCCUUAAUUACUGGUGGAAUGGAAAAUAGUUGAUCAUUAAAUGAUAUGAAUAUAUCAUCUGGCUCUUGUCCAAACACAGAACAGAAAUAUUUAUUGGACUUUUCUGCCUUCCUACAUUACUAUUGACAAUUCUAUUUCCAUUUGGAAAUGGACAAAUACCUUUGGUAGCAUUCCUUUUGUUCCUGAUGUACUUCAGAAUACUCCUCCUCAUUUUCCUUAACGCUGCUGGCCACAGAUUUCUCCUUGUAUUCUUUUGCUCCUUUGUCAGCUUCUACAAUUACACGCAAUUCUGCCAGCACUAUGAUUUAUUAUUUCUCCCUCAUUCUUAGGAUCAUUAGCCUGGAAAACGCAUCUAUUUCGAGGGCUAAUAAUAAUACACUUGCAUGAUGUCUUUCAUUUAUUUCAAAGCACUUUAUAAAAUAUGAAUGAAUUUAAACCUCAACACUUGUGUGCGAUAAUAGGUAUCCUCAUUUUAUGGGCAAAGAGGAUCAGAGAGUUUAAAAUUACUUGUCCAAUCUCCCACAGGAAAUCUAUGCAGAGCCAAGAUUAGAACCUAGAACUGCUGACUCUGAGUCAUGUGCUGAGGCCAUGCUAACACAAAUGCCAGGGUGGCUGGGUACACAGGUUUAAGGCAAAUGGCCCUAAAGAUGCUAUGGGCUGAAUUAUUAGCCUUUCACCCUCUAAAACUGGGUUCAGAUGUGGAUUACUUACAGGUGAAAUAAAGUCUCAAAUCAUGUCCCCAGUGAGUGGGUUUUUCUGCUCUUAAGAAAAUACAGGAUAUAGAUAGCAGGGAGUGUUGCAGAACAGGACUGGGAGAUAUGGACAGCUUUAGGGGCCCAAUGUAUGAACACGGUAGGUCAGGGCUGAGGUACACUAGCAGAGCUGAGAGAGCUUCUCCUGAAUUCUGGCAGUAUUCUCGGCUUGACUUUCCUGAGCUUUACAUUUAUCAUUUUUUUAAAAAAGCCUCUCUGCCCUCCAAAGUGAAAACAGCAAAAUUCUUCUGCAAAGGGGAAUGGGUAAGAAAACCAACAAUGUUCACCACAGAGAACCAAUAAACACAGACUCAGGACACAUCCGACUGGUGUUUCUCUCUUUUAUUUAAAAACAGUGCUUCAUUACCAUUUGCAAAGGGUGAGGAAGGGCUCCUCCCUUGCUUAGAGUUUAUAAAAGCCAGCAACAUGAUCAAUAAUUUAUACACAUGGAUAGUAAUACAAAAAAAAGGAAUAAAAGCUAAAGAUCUAACUACUCCGACCUUCACAAUUCCAGCUACUUGAUAAUAAUAGGAGUAACCCAAUGAAUACUGUAUGGUCUGAAAGCUACUAUACAAUAUGAUACUUAAUGAGGGGGGGCAGGAAGUUAGAGACGGUCACAAAGCCCUGGGAUGCAGGUACUGCUUCUCCAGAGUCAGCAAAGAAAUGGGACCCUGAACAAGCAGCUUGGGCGUCCUAGGAAAUGAUCCAGGGGAGAGGAAAGCAUCCAGUUUUGAUGCAUCCUAUGCCCCGAGGGUACCUGGCAAUGGAAAGGUGGUGGGGAGACUGCAUGAAGGGGCGAAGUCAGUCGUUGCCACUGGAGGUUCCGUGAAAUUUUAGCCUUGCAUUGAAAAGCUCCAAGUCUCAGGCAGAUCAGCCUGUGAGGUCAGUAAACUCUCCACCAGCUCGAUAUCGCUCUACAGCCCUGGUUCUCGUUUGCUAUCGGCCCCAGGUUUUUUUUUUUUUUUUUUCUCCAGCUAUUUACAAGCAGAAUUGAUAACAUAAAAAGAAAAACAAAUCAUACCCCCUGGGGUAAAAGAGGAUUACUUCGUCACUUGAGAACGCAGCCAAACCCAGCUGCCAAAACUACAACACGCGCGCACACAAAAAAUACUGUCAAGAGAAAAAUAGAAGAAAGUGACCGAAGCUGAGACUAUUUGUGUGGGAGGCCAGAUUCCCUUAACGAGAUCACUCCUCAGGGAAGCAACAAACUGACCCCCUCCCACCCACCCCCAAAAAUCUGGCAAAAGAGAGAUUUAUUGAUCAAUCAAUCCUUAGAUCACUGGCACUUUGCAGAUUGCCAGCCAAGUGAAUACUCAGGUGGACGGCUUUACACAUCAGCAAUCUCCUUAGAGGCAAGGUUCUGGCUGACGUAUUCUUACUCUGCUACCAGUCUUUGCCGACUGGCUGCACUGGCACUGACCUUAUGUGUCAUCUUUCUGUGUAAGCUUUCACCAGUUGCUGCCAGAAACAUGGGUAGGACAACAACUGCAGGUGGUUACAACACUUCUGGAAUGUCCCCCUCGACUGUUAGUGGUGGAAACCGAUUCUGGCAUUGGACGUCUUAGUUCAAUUUGCUUUGUAACCUGUAUGUGUUCUGGGGAGGGGUGUUAUAUUGCAUACUGCAAGCUACAGGAAGGACUCCACCCUGGAGGACACCCAAAGCCUACUUGGAAAGGGCCCCAUUUCACACUCUGGCUAUCACAUUCCUGCAUGCCUUGUCAACUGGUGAUUUCAUUAUAGAAUAAAGUAAGUUGGGGGGGGGGAUCAGUAGGGUGGGGACAAGGAGGGAGGAGCUUUUCAGACAGUAACAUCACCAAAAAAUAGUGUUUUAUGCAACAAAGAAUCAAGUCUCACUGGUGUAUACUACAAAAUGUUUGACAUUUUCAAGAGCAUGACAAAAUAAAAACACACCGAAGUUUACAUUGGAUGUUCACCUUGUUCACUAGUUUGUUUUUUUUGUCCUAUUUUAAAACAGUGCAAACAAGUAACACACUCUUUAAAAACCACUUCCCCCUCCGCCAAGGCAUGGACUCCUCACAUGUGGCCAUAUUAAAGGGGCAUAAGCAGCAAAUUAUUUUCCAAGCUGCUCGUGUGGUUUCCCUUUGGAGCUGGACUCAGCAAAAGAAGAGUUCCCCAGAGCCAGUAUUUUUUUCCCUUCUUGAAUUCCUAAGUGCUCCCCACACCUAUUCUCUACUUGUCUUCUCCUUGGGGACUGGGGUACAAGGGCGAUAUAUGAAGAUUUGCAAAGCCCCUUAGAUGCCUACAUAGCAGAGCUCAAAAAACCACAAUAGCCAGGACCUCAUUUAAGAAUGAUUCUCACCAGAAAGCUGCUAGGCUAUGAAACAGUUUUAUAAACAUUUUAUACCAGUUAGGCCCUACCUAUAUUGGGGUUUCAGACAUUACUUAGAUCUCAUAUAGAACUCUUCAUCCAUGGUUUCAAAGGGCUUCACAAAAGGAAGAUAAAGUAUCACUAUCCCUGCUUUGUGGAUGGGGAAAACUGAAGCACAGGAAGGUGAACUGACCUGCUCAAGGUCACAUUGCAGGAUCAACGAUAGAAGCUAGACUAGAUUAGACUAGACCAGACCAGACCUCAAGUCUUCCACUCCCAGCCUAGUGCUCCAUCCCACUGGACCAUACUACCCAUGGCAGUGGGCUAUCUAAACAAGAAUAUAAUUUAAAAGCAUGGUUUUGGCUAACAUGAUUGAACUUUACUGUAGACAGGACCUCCAUGCCUGCCUGCCUGCCCUACAAAUGGCUGGUUAUAAGAAGUUGGUAAUUGGUACACUAAAGGCAUGUCUACAUACAAAAGUUGUACUGCUUUACCUAUGCCAGUGUAGUUAAAGUCACAUAACACCCCUAGUGUGGAUGCAAUUCUAUAUAUAUAUAGGUGCCUUAUACUGAUAAUAGCUCAUUCCCAUGAGGGAAGGGGAAUAAGCUAUGCUGGUAUAAUGCACCUUUAUACCAAUAUAAAUGCACUCGCAUUAGGAUUGCACCAGUAUAACAAUAGCACUAAAAUCACUCCCCUAACCAACCUGGUUAUACUGGGACAAACACCGGGGGAGGCAGACCAGACUGAAGUGGUUAAGAAGCUGAGCCAAGGUCUGUGUGAGAGAAACUCUUGAACACUGAUCAUUACAGGGCAAAAGUACUCGAUGUUCUGAGUGAUAAAAGCCUGCCCCAUUUCUAUCCCUAUAAAAAGCCUGAGUAUAAUUAAUUCUGCAUAGGGAGAUACAGGUCUUCCUCAAUUUUUGGGACAAUGGAUACUUCAAAGAUUGAUACACUCAAGGCUUGGCUAAUCUGAAUGGAAAUAGGUCCUUCGUGUCAUGAGCCAAUUCAUUAAAUGUCAUCUGUGGAAUCAGAGUCAUUGUGUUUGCCAAGUAGGACGGAGGAAGGGAUGAAGAGCUCUUGCUUGCCAUGGCCCAAAAUUCAUAGGCGCAACCCUGCUACAAAAAUCCAGCUGUGGUAAAAGCUGUCUGGGAGGUCUUGGUUUUGGAAAGUAUCACCUGGACUGUAUGGAUGGUAAAUGUCUAAAAUUACAGAACCAACUCCUGUAGUCAGCAGGGCAAAGGGCUUAGUUUCCCCCAGCCCAGUCACCACAGAGUAGGAAUUAGGGAAACCCAAGUGCUAAUACACUGAGGGGACUUGAACAGAGAUUAAUAGACCAGGGCAGCCCCCACUGAUGCAUUAGGGGCCUGGCCUUUGUGGAUCAGAAGUUGGUGACAGUAGGUGCUAAAGCAUUAGGUGACCCACCCUCUGCGAAACCCAGGCACUUCUGUGACAAGAACCCAGAUUCUCAGCUCUAAGCUGGGUUAUAUUUGCCAAGCACAGACCCUGCUUAAAAGCAGAAGUGUGUUCAGCCCUCCCUACAGAUGGAGAUGAAAGGGGGCAACCAACCACAUGCUGCAUUGCCAUGGUGCAGGAGGGCUCUUGAGAAAGUGGAGCUUGACCUUUCAAAAGCUACAGUCAGAACCAGCUGAACUGAGACACAUGAAAGGGGCCGAAGCUCAAGCCGCUGUCACUGCAGCGCUAAGCAAGCUGUGUCCCCUUGCCCUCUCCCAUUCUGUAGCCCCACAGCAUCAGCAAUUUCUCCUUCCUGAGAGUAAGAGAAGAGAGAUCCUGUUUUCACUCCCCCCACCACUCUAGGCUAUGAUGAACUCCGUUUACGGCUUUUGGUGCAUCUCAGCUCCAGAAAGGAGUCUCCCACUCCCAUCUGCCACAUGAUGGAAAUUGGCUUCCCUUCAAUAUGACACUAGAAGUUCUACUGGAAAUUUUUUUUUACCCACUCAACCAGUAAAAGCCAAAAAUCCCACCGUCCCCUCAUUUCCUUGAUUUUGUGAAAGCCCCAACACCCCACUCCCCCCACUCCGUUUUCAAUCUAACUAAAAUAUUUAUAUACAAACAACAAAAAUUGUCAUAACUGCAACAAACCAAACUUUGGCUUGAAAAAACAAAACAAAAAACAAACAAAAACAAAAAAAGUGGCCAACAGGCUGGCAGUUUGGUGUCCCCUUGUUCUAGCUAUUCUUCCACAGAAUCAAUAGCUUUAGGGUCUCUAGCUUAACUCAUGUCUCCCCGAUCCUUCUUACUUCAGGCACCUCCUCCCUGCCGACAUAGGGAGGACGUGUGCUGAGGGGAGGAGCAAAGAUGUGUGUUGUGCAUGGCUGGGUCAGUGCACCUCCCAGACAGCCCUGCUCACUUACAAUGCUUAAAGUUCAACGCAUCUGGUUUCCUAUUCUGAUAUCAACUGUUGAUAGAGAAGCAAGUGUAUGGUGGCAGGAGUCGAAAGGCUCUAGCUACAAAUCCACACCCCACACUGCCCUUUCUGGGAGUGAAAAGUCACCCCUGUACCAAUUCAGCUAGAUAAGGGAGCCAAAUGGAAUUGUGCUUCUUUCUCUGUUUCUCUAGUGUCUAGGGUUAGAUAAAGCAUCAGAGAAUCUGCCUUUGAUUGCAAGAGUUGCUCGGAGCAUAGCAAUAACUAACAACUAGAGGGGAGACUAUUCCUCUGAGUUCUAAAAUCAAGCUCGGCUGUUGACAGCAACGACUCCCUGCCACAGUGCUACUCCUUGCAGCAACCUAUAAAAUGCCUGCUUUUUAAAAACAGAAGAAUCACUCUAGUUACAAGAGCAGAAGAAAGAUGGCCUUGGGAGCCACGGAGCCCUUCUAAAUAGUCUCUCUGCUUUAGAAACUUACAGUCUGUAGUGUAAAUGUGGACUGAGCAGUCCAGGUGCUCUUUGUAGGAUACUGAGACGCUGGGUGAAUGGCCACUGGGGCUCUAGAUUAAAUAUUUAAGGGCCUCAAAUAGAUCUAGGAGAUGGGAGGUUCCUAUGACUUCAGAGCUUGUACAAACGGCUUCUGCCUGCCUCCAGACAUCUGAGCUAUCCAAAAUCACUUCAGGAACAGCAUUCUGAAAUAAAACUCUCUCUUCCCCUCACACACACUCCCCUGUCCCUUUGCAGCUGAUCCAUGACUCAUUUUUUGUCUUCACACUACUUUAAUGAUUUAUUUGCAGCAAUGCCUACGUGGCUCAUGGUGAACAGAGAGAGGGACCUUGAAUGCUGAACCUCAGAGCAGCUCAUUGUGGCACUAAUGCAGGGCUCUUCAGCCAGCUUUCUUCCUCAUAAAGCUGCAAACACUCGAUAAAUCUAAUCACUCCUUCAUGUCCGAGAAACAAGCACUCUCAAUCAUUGCUUCAAGCUCUGCCGUUACUGCCCACGUUUGCAGCAUCACACCACCCAAUCCUCAAGAAAAGAAAAGAAAAAGGGGCAGUAAAGGAGAAAGACCUUAGAAAGCAGAGGAAGGAAAGACAAUUACAGUCCAGUAGUGGACAACAAUCAACUAGGAUUAGGUGUGUGUGGAGGGAGAGAUAUAAAGAAUUCAUUUCAAAGUCUUGUCCCCUACUGCAGUUAAUUGCCGAAGUCUUUGGGCAAAGUUUGGGCAACUAUACAGUCCCGACACUGCUGAAACCGGUCCAAGUGUGUGCAUGCCAGGUGAUGAUAUAAUGCUAGAAGUCUCUGCAUCUCCCUUCUUUUCAAAUACAAAGAACUAUUUCUCACCAGCAUGUGGGUUCCAGCCACAGCCAAUCAACGCGUCCAUCCAAAAGGCAGAAACACAGCAGGAAGAGGCUCUUCCUCACAUCCUCCUGUCUCACAGGUGCCAAACAUCAGACCCAGGUAAGUAACUUUGUCCACAAUUAAUUGCAUGAUAUUGGUUCCUAACAUCUUUCCUUAUCAUUAAUUGCCUCUUCCGUGAUUGUUAGGAUAAGCAAUGCACCAACAUAAAGACACGGAAAUGCAUUUUUUUUUACCACAGUUAAAAAAA